UCAUAUUCUCAUAUUCAUCUUCCAAGCACAUUUAAUUCCAGAGAUUGCGAAUUGCUGAAUGCUUCCAUUGCUGUGUUUUGCUGUAUUUUUUUUAUUUUAUUCAAUCCCUCUGUCACGAUACACAGGAUUAGGUACAGCCAAUGGUAAAUUCAUUGAAAUCAACACAGUGCAGGUGAGGAAUGACUGUUAGUAUGGUAGGAUGAAUAUUGACUUGAAUGUAACUGUGAAUGUGUCUUACAGUAUGAUCCAAGAGCACACAGACACACACACACACACACACACACACACACAGGAGCAGUUGAAAUGAGUGGACCAGGAGAUGACUUAGAUUCGACUCGGAAAAAGGAGACAGCAUCAGAGGUGCUUAUGGUUGGUUUCCCAAGCCAAAGCAGCUUACUUACGGAGCCUUGUGAUUACUAAACUGGAACAACAGGGUUUCCCUGAGAGCUCCUGAUCAAAGCAUUGAUUGUGGCUUCCGCUUGGAAGAGGAAGAUCCAGACACUGAAGUAACAGGAACAGGAGCGUUCAGCAGUGUCUGUAUUGCACUCAAAGCUUCCAUCUAGUGGUCAUGACUCUCCUCUGAUCUGGAGCUUGACUAGUUUCUCAGCAUCUCUUUUGCAUUGACUGUAACAAAAUCUUAAUGUAACAUUUGAACAUAUAUUAUUUAUAGCUACAUCUAGAAAAAAAAUGUACAGGAGAUAAUCCAACACCGUAUGUGGUAUUAAAAGUUUUAUAAAAUUUUGGCUAGUAUUUGGUAAGCCUUUGUUAGUAAUUUCUUGAUUUGUAACAAAGUGAGAUUAUAUUUUGGCUCCAAUUUCUGCAAUAGCACUGGAAUAUUUAUUGUGUGUGGCCAUUGUUAUUUAAUACAAUCUUGUUAAUUGUUUAUUUUAAAAGAAAAAGUGCUCGGAAAUGUCUGUAUGUUUCCCUGAAGGAACCAUGUGUAAAAAUGGCAAACUGUUGUUUGAAUAAAAAAUGUUACUUGUUAAA